rnacentral:rRNA from 1 species
UACAGCGGUCAUAGAUGGUGAAGUUACCGAUCCCUUCAGAACUCGGAAUAUAAACGGCCAAUCGCAUGGUUAGUACUAUGGUGGGGGGACCACAUGGGAAUACCAUGUACUGCUGAGA